GCCUGAGAGGGGCUGUCGCGACCUGAGU
rnacentral:sRNA from 1 species